UACGUAGGGGCCGAGCGUUGUCCGGAGUUAUUGGGCGUAAAGCGCGCGCAGGCGGCUUGGCGCGCCCGACGUGAAAGCCCCCGGCUUAACCGGGGAGAGUCGUCGGGGACGGCCGGGCUUGAGGGCGGGAGAGGGUGGUGGAAUUCCCGGUGUAGUGGUGAAAUGCGUAGAGAUCGGGAGGAACACCUGUGGCGAAGGCGGCCACCUGGGCCGACCCUGACGCUGAGGCGCGAAGGCGUGGGAGCGAACGGG
rnacentral:rRNA from 1 species